GUUGUAUGGUUAAGUGACUAAGCGUACACGGUGGAUGCCUAGGCAAUCAGAGGCGAAGAAGGACGUGCUAAUCUGCGAAAAGCUUGGAUGAGUUGAUAAGAAGCGUUUAAUCCAAGAUAUCCGAAUGGGGAAACCCAGUAGAUGAAGAAUCUACUAUCAAUAGAUGAAUACAUAGUCUGUUGAGGCAAACCGGGAGAACUGAAACAUCUAAGUACCCCGAGGAAAAGAAAUCAACCGAGAUUUUGUCAGUAGCGGCGAGCGAAAGCGAAAGAGCCAGCAAGUGAUAGCAGCAAAGACAGAAGAAUUGGCUGGAAAGCCAAGCGACACAGGGUGAUAGCCCCGUAUUUUAAGUUUAUGUUGUGGUACUAAACUUGCAACAAGUAGGGCGGGACACGAGAAAUCCUGUUUGAAGAUGGGGGGACCAUCCUCCAAGGCUAAAUACUCCUGAUUGACCGAUAGUGAACCAGUACUGUGAAGGAAAGGCGAAAAGAACCCCAGUGAGGGGAGUGAAAUAGAACCUGAAACCGUGUACGUACAAGCAGUGGGAGCCCUUUUGGGUGACUGCGUACCUUUUGUAUAAUGGGUCAGCGACUUAUAUUUUGUAGCGAGGUUAACUGAAUAAGGGAGCCGAAGGGAAACCGAGUCUUAACUGGGCGGUGAGUUGCAAGGUAUAGACCCGAAACCCGGUGAUCUAGCCAUGGGCAGGUUGAAGGUUGGGUAACACUAACUGGAGGACCGAACCGACUAAUGUUGAAAAAUUAGCGGAUGACUUGUGGCUGGGGGUGAAAGGCCAAUCAAACCGGGAGAUAGCUGGUUCUCCCCGAAAUCUAUUUAGGUAGAGCCUUAUGUGAAUACCUUCGGGGGUAGAGCACUGUUUCGGCUAGGGGUCCAUCCCGGAUUACCAACCCGAUGCAAACUGCGAAUACCGAAGAGUAAUGCAUAGGAGACACACGGUGGGUGCUAACGUCCAUCGUGGAGAGGGAAACAACCCAGACCGCCAGCUAAGGUCCCAAAGUCUAUAUUAAGUGGGAAACGAAGUGGGAAGGCUUAGACAGCUAGGAUGUUGGCUUAGAAGCAGCCACCAUUUAAAGAAAGCGUAAUAGCUCACUAGUCGAGUCGGCCUGCGCGGAAGAUGUAACGGGGCUAAAAUAUAGCACCGAAGCUGCGGCAUCAGGCGUAUCACAAAUACGCCUUCGAUUAACAACAUCGAAUGAAGUGAAACGGAAUAAGAUGUUGGUCAAGCACCCAACACGUUGAGUUGGCAUAAAGUGCGGAUAGAAAUCAGAGGAAUAUUUGUGAUACGCCUGUUGGGUAGGGGAGCGUUGUGUAAGCGGAUGAAGGUGAAUCGAGAGGUUUGCUGGACGUAUCACAAGUGCGAAUGCUGACAUAAGUAACGAUAAAACGAGUGAAAAACUCGUUCGCCGGAAGACCAAGGGUUCCUGUCCAACGUUAAUCGGGGCAGGGUGAGUCGGCCCCUAAGGCGAGGCUGAAAAGCGUAGUCGAUGGGAAACGGGUUAAUAUUCCCGUACUUGGUAAAGCUGCGAUGUGGGGACGGAGAAGGUUAGGUUAGCAGACUGUUGGAUGUCUGUUUAAGUUGGUAGGUGGGAAGUUUAGGCAAAUCCGGACUUCCAUAACACUGAGAGAUGAUGACGAGUUUCUACGGAAAUGAAGUAACUGAUACCACGCUUCCAGGAAAAGCCACUAAGCGAAAGGCUUUACUAAACCGUACUGAAAACCGACACAGGUGGUCAGGUAGAGAAUACUCAGGCGCUUGAGAGAACUCGGGUGAAGGAACUAGGCAAAAUAGCACCGUAACUUCGGGAGAAGGUGCGCUGGCGUAGGUUGUAGGAGUAUACCNNNNNNNNNNNNNNNNNNNNNNNNNNNNNNNNNNNNNNNNNNNNNNNNNNNNNNNNNNNNNNNNNNNNNNNNNNNNNNNNNAGGUUGUAGGAGUAUACCUCCGAAGGCUGAACCAGUCGAAGAUACCAGCUGGCUGCAACUGUUUAUUAAAAACACAGCACUCUGCAAACACGAAAGUGGACGUAUAGGGUGUGAUGCCUGCCCGGUGCUGGAAGGUUAAUUGAUGGUGUUAUCGAAAGAGAAGCUCCUGAUCGAAGCCCCAGUAAACGGCGGCCGUAACUAUAACGGUCCUAAGGUAGCGAAAUUCCUUGUCGGGUAAGUUCCGACCUGCACGAAUGGCAUAAUGAUGGCCAGGCUGUCUCCACCCGAGACUCAGUGAAAUUGAAAUCGCCGUGAAGAUGCGGUGUACCCGCGGCUAGACGGAAAGACCCCGUGAACCUUUACUAUAGCUUGACACUGAACAUUGAAUUUUGAUGUGUAGGAUAGGUGGGAGACUUAGAAGCAGGCACGCCAGUGCUUGUGGAGUCGUCCUUGAAAUACCACCCUUUAACGUUUGAUGUUCUAACGAAGAUUACGAAACGUGGUCUCGGACAGUGUCUGGUGGGUAGUUUGACUGGGGCGGUCUCCUCCCAAAGCGUAACGGAGGAGCACGAAGGUUUGCUAAUCACGGUCGGACAUCGUGAGGUUAGUGCAAUGGUAUAAGCAAGCUUAACUGCGAGACAGACAAGUCGAGCAGGUGCGAAAGCAGGUCAUAGUGAUCCGGUGGUUCUGAAUGGAAGGGCCAUCGCUCAACGGAUAAAAGGUACUCCGGGGAUAACAGGCUGAUACCGCCCAAGAGUUCAUAUCGACGGCGGUGUUUGGCACCUCGAUGUCGGCUCAUCACAUCCUGGGGCUGAAGUAGGUCCCAAGGGUAUGGCUGUUCGCCAUUUAAAGUGGUACGCGAGCUGGGUUUAGAACGUCGUGAGACAGUUCGGUCCCUAUCUGCCGUGGGCGUUGGAGAAUUGAGAGGGGCUGCUCCUAGUACGAGAGGACCGGAGUGGACGCAUCACUGGUGUACCAGUUGUCUCGCCAGAGGCAUUGCUGGGUAGCUAAAUGCGGAAGAGAUAAGUGCUGAAAGCAUCUAAGCACGAAACUCGCCUUAAGAUGAGUUCUCCCUAGCUAUAAGCUAGUAAGGGUUGUUGAAGACUACGACGUAGAUAGGUCUGGUGUGUAAGCGGUGUGAGCCGUUGAGCUAACAGAUACUAAUUGCCCGAGAGGCUUAACUAUACAACCUCAAGCGUU
rnacentral:rRNA from 1 species